rnacentral:lncRNA from 1 species
ACUUUUCUCUUAAAAAUAGAAAUAUAACAAAAAGCUUAAUAAAUGAUAAAGAAAAGAAUCCAACUUGGCCUUCUUCUUCUUCUUCUCAACAUAACAACUAUCAACAUAUCGGACCACCACCAACCCUAAGGUAAAUUUAGAAGAAGUUAAAAGUUUUGAAUCUCUUCUUCAUAUUUACAAAUACUUUCUUUUUGUCCACUUGUACGAUUAAUAAUUCAUACAAAUGGAAAAUAUUCCUUUCAGUGAUGUAGAUGCUUGUUGAGUAUAAGCUAUUUCAAUGAAGAAAUUUAAAUUCUUAAUUUGCUUAUCUUGAGCUACUUUCGUUGGAUUAAAUAUUAGGAUUUUUUUUCCAACACUUUAAAUCGAUUUAAAUUACCAUUUAAUUGAGAACUGUAAAUUUAUAAGGGAUGUUAUAAGAAUAGUGAGUUUCGUCCUUUUGAUAUAUUUCAUUUUAUCAGGAAUCCGUCUUAUUUUGUAUUGAUAUGUAAUUAAAAAAAAAAAAAACAGAAGAAGUGACCGGAAAUUGAUGAACCACUUUCACAAGAAACUAAUGGUUUGUCAUCAUUUUAUUUCUUCUUUCCCAUGCAUGUGAAAAUUGAAUGGGUGUAAAUGAGCAUAAACUCAUGCUAAUUCAUAUAUUCCUCUUUGGUUAGAAUUAGCAGAGAACAAGAAAUAUAGAAGCUAGCAAGGGAUCAGAGAACAGAGAUCAGAGNNNN